rnacentral:rRNA from 1 species
GACGAACCGCGCGAACGUUGUUCGGAAUCACUGGGCUUAAAGGGCGCGUAGGCGGGUCGGCAAGUCCGGGGUGAAAGCCUCCAGCUCAACUGGAGAAGUGCCUUGGAUACUGCCGGUCUCGAGGGAGGCAGGGGUCUGUGGAACUUCUGGUGGAGCGGUGAAAUGCGUUGAUAUCAGAAGGAACGCCGGUGGCGAAAGCGACGGACUGGUCCUCUUCUGACGCUGAGGCGCGAAAGCCAGGGGAGCAAACGGG